rnacentral:rRNA from 1 species
UACGGGGGGGGCAAGCGUUGUUCGGAAUUACUGGGCGUAAAGGGCGCGUAGGCGGCCUGCUAAGUCACACGUGAAAUCCCUCGGCUCAACCGGGGAACUGCGUGUGAUACUGGCGGGCUCGAAUUCGGGAGAGGGAUGUGGAAUUCCAGGUGUAGCGGUGAAAUGCGUAGAUAUCUGGAGGAACACCGGUGGCGAAGGCGGCAUCCUGGACCGGUAUUGACGCUGAGGCGCGAAAGCUAGGGGAGCAAACGGG